AACGAACGCUGGCGGCAGGCUUAACACAUGCAAGUCGAGCGCCCCGCAAGGGGAGCGGCAGACGGGUGCGUAACGCGUGGGAAUCUACCCAUCUCUACGGAAUAACGCAUGGAAACGUGUGCUAAUACUGUAUACGUCCUUCGGGAGAAAGAUUUAUCGGAGAUGGAUGAGCCCGCGUUGGAUUAGCUAGUUGGUGGGGUAAAGGCCUACCAAGGCGACGAUCCAUAGCUGGUCUGAGAGGUUGAUCAGCCACACUGGGACUGAGACACGGCCCAGACUCCUACGGGAGGCAGCAGUGGGGAAUAUUGGACAAUGGGCGCAAGCCUGAUCCAGCCAUGCCGCGUGAGUGAUGAAGGACCUAGGGUUGUAAAGCUCUUUCACCGGUGAAGAUAAUGACGGUAACCGGAGAAGAAGCCCCGGCUAACUUCGUGCCAGCCGCCGCUGUAAUAU
rnacentral:rRNA from 1 species